GUGGAUUCCCUUCUGGUCCUCUCCAUCCCAGUGGGUAUUAAUACAUGUCAUACAGUAGCUGUGUCCACAGGGAAUAGUCACCGGAUCCUUCAGUAGAUCCAGACAGAUGGAACAAGAGAAGGUUUCUUGGUCCAGCUGAACUCCUUCCUGAGCCAUUUUCUCCUCUGAGCAGCAGCGACUGAGUUUCUCUCUCCUCCAACUCAAAUUCGAUUGAUCCUGCAGUCAAUGUGGCCUUUCAGCUCUUCCACUUCACUCCACGUUGGUUCCACCAAUCCUCACAGUGCAGAUCU